CGGGCACAACGGGAAGGCUUUCAGAAAAUGAAGGCCGGGCACGAUCUUGAAGGACGCGUGGAAUCAGGCAUCGAGAAGGGCGAAAAACCCACGUGAGACGGGUGGUUGGUGCUUCAAAUGGCAGGACGUACGGCCGAAAAGGUAGAGCAAGGCCAGACCCUAGAGGGCUUUGUGCGCCGGGGGAAGAAGGCCAGGCUUUCUUCCGCGAGUGCUGGGGGUUUACUGUAAAGAACUUUAGAGGGGGACGUCCCUGAUCAAUUUGCAUCUGGUGUCUCUGGAAAGCGGUAGGGAGAGAGCAGUCUAGGGACAAAGAUACAAGCUACGGGCUUUCAGUAAUGGUCCGAAUGGGAGGUGGAGGGGGCUGGAACCAGUGGUAGUAGAGGGGACGGGGAGGCAGUGGCAAAAUUAGAUGCUAUUUAGGAGGAACAACUAAUAAGAUUUUAUAUGUACCGGAUAUUGAAGGUAAGGAGGUGGAAACAAUAAGAAAAACAUCCCACGGAAGAGAAACAUCUCUUCAAAGACAAGACAACGUGCCCCGAAGCGGGUAUCAGACUACCGGGGUAGGAAAUCUUGGGAAAAGAUACACCUCCUCCUAAACAACUAGAUUUAAUUUCUUGUGUGUGGGAGGAAGCCCAAAAUGUGUCUGGGGACCGGGGACUGUUCUGCGGGGACUCAAGGCUGCAGACGGGCUACAGAGGAGCUGACAGGUAGCUGAGGGCCGGAUUGUGGAGCAUAGAGCUUCUGUGUUCAAGUUUACAUAUUGCUGGUGGUUCGCCUUUCAUACAGAAGGAAGAGGUGGCCCGGGGUGGGGUGGGGGGGGAGGUUCAGAACACGCUGACGUCCAAACCAAAAUCAGGAUAAUUCUGGGCUACCUCUAUAGCUCGCUUUGAUCAGGAAAGACUUGGUAAGGAAGCAUACUGCACUAGGGUCACUUCAGAAGGUUCUGUCCGGUCCCAACGGGCUCCCUUCCAAAGAGUAAUCCUAGGAGGUCGGAACUAGCUAGUCCAGAGAUGGGAGAAGCCCAGGGAGGUGGACUCAUCUCUGCUGUGGGUCAUGAAGACUAUGCUGCCAGCUUAACCUCAAUACAAGGAUAGCGGUUCUUCCAGGAUCCUCGACAUUCCGCCUUAUUGGGAACUUUGUUGUUGUUUUUUUAAGUUUAUUUAUGUAUUUUGACAGCGAGCGAGAAAGAGAGAGAGAGUGUGUGUGAGAGAACGGGGAGGGGCAGAGAAUGGGGAGAGACUGAAUCCCAAGCGGGCUCUGUGCCAACUCACAAACCGUGAGAUCAUGACCUGAGCCGACAUCGAGAGUGAGAUGCUUAACCGACUGAGCCACCCAGGCGCCCCUGGAAAAGUUGUCUUAUGGAAAAGGUUUCAUAACUAACCCAGUGGGAAGCUCUCAGGUGGUUUGACAGAAAAAGAAUCCCCAGCUGCAUUUCUCUUGUUUGCAAGGAGGCUGGUUCAACAAUCCUACCUGGCCACCCCCUGUUCCCUACCCAACUUUCUCCGCACAUCGUUUUGCCACCAGAAGAGAAGCGCUCUUAACCAAGGUUCUCCUAAGACUACCAGAUACACCAUAAUCUCCCUUUUUUCAAGAAAACACACUAACACUCGUAAUCCAUACUUCUGCUCUGACUGGCCGAGUUGUAUGGGUGGCAAGAGACCGAUGUGUUGGCUACCCGAUCUGCUUCUGUCAGUUGCAUUUAUGUAAUUUAGUUAUUAAUACAGGCAUAUCGCAUUUAAUUGCACUUCAUGGGUUUCUAAGUUUUUCUUAAGUUUAUUUAUUUGUUUUGAGAGAGAGAGCGUGCGAUCAGGGGGAGGGGCAGAGAGAGAGAGGGAAAAGGAGGAUCCCUGACAUGGGGUUCAAACUCACGAACCACGAGAUGGUGACCUGAGCUGAAACCAAGAGUCGGCCAUUUAACUGACUGAGCCACCCAUCCAAGCGUCACUCACGGAUUUUUUUUUUUUAAAGAUGAAUGAAAGGUUUAGAGCAAUCGUGCACCAAACAAGUCUGUUGGUGCCAUUUUUCCAACAGCAUUUGCUCACGUCACGUGUCUGGGUCACAUUUUGGUAAUUCUUGCAACGUUUCAAACUUUUUCAUUAUUAUUAUAUUUGUUAUGGUAAUCUGUGAUCAGGGAUUAUGACGCGCUGAAAGCUCAGAUGAUGGUUAACAUUCUCAAGCGAUAAAGCAUCUUUUAAUGAAGGUAUGUACAUUUUUUUCAACAUCAUGCUAUUGCACGUUUAAUAGACUGCAGCUUAGUGUACAUAUAACCUUUAUAUGCCCUGGGAAACCAAAAAAAAUCGAUUUUACUUGCUUUAUUGCAAUAUUUGCUUUAUUGCAGCUGUCUGGAACCAAAUGCUCAAUAUUUCUGAGGUAUGCCUGUAUGCAAACUAAUGAAAUAUGAGUGCAGAAAAGAGCAGUUUCUACGAAAACAAAGCUGAAUGCCUUGCUAUGAAUUAUAUAUUGGUGAGAAAACUGUAAAAGGAGAGGGAAAUCACAUAACAGUCCAGAAGGAUGCUGCAUUCAGAAUGCUUCCCGUAUUUUUUUUUAACUUCUUCCUCUACUUUGAAGAAAUCCAAAUGACGGGGAAGGGCGUAUGGGUGUGGUUUAUACCAGAAAGCCAAGGAGGAAGUUCAUUCCGUAGACCCAGACUCCAGGAGAAGACUUUGGCCCUGUACCCAUGACUGGCCAAUGAAGGUACAUUUGUGUUGAGUUAAAGUAAAACAGUUAACACAAAAGUAUAUACAGGAGUGCCUGGGUGGCUCAGUCGGUUAAACAUCUGCCUUCAACUGAGGUCAUGAUCUCACGGUUCAUGGGUUCGAGUCCCACGUUGGGCUCUCUGCUGACAGCUUGGAGCCUGCUUCAGAUUCUGUGUGUGUCUCUCUCUCUCUGCCCCUCUCCCCUUGCACUCUGUCUCUCUCUCUCUCAAAAAUAAACAUUAAACAUUAAAAAUAUAUAUACAUAAAAUUUUUAUAAUUUUUUUUCUGCCACUUUGCCUCUUGAUUAACAGACAAACCACAUGUCCUGCCCUCCGUCUCAACACUUACCCAUGCUUUUCGUCUCCUGAUCUUGGACUAGGUUUUCAAUUCUCUGUACAACUUGACUGCCCCUUUCUUACUUUCCCACUCAAACUCAUUCCUGAUACAGUGGCCUGGUGGGCAGUCUCCUUCCAAAGAUACUGGGUGUCUCAGCCCCUUCAGGAUCCAGGUUUUGGGUCUAAAGCUUAAAUAUAAGCAUUAAGGGACCCUCUUCAAAACAUAUAACAGUAAAUUAAAAAAUCAUAUAGAAGCGAAGAUUUAUUAAAAUGAUUUUUUUAAAUGAUAAGUUACAAAUGCUGACAAAUACAUGAACAUCAAAAAUUCCAGAACUCAUACAACCCAAUAGUAAAAAAAACCAAACGAUCCAAUUUUCAAAUAGGCAGAGGAUCUGAAUAGACAUUCCCCAGGAAGACAUCUAGACGGCCAACAGACACACGAAAAGAUGCUCAACCUCACUCAUCAUCAGGGAAAUGCAAAUAAAACAAUAAGGUGGCACCUCACACUUGCUAGAAUGGCAGUUAUCAAAAAGACAAGAAAUAGCAAAUGUUGUUAAGGAUGUGGAAGAAAGGGAACCCUCGUGCACUGUUGGUGGGAAUGUAAAUUGGUGCAGCCACUGUGGAAAACAGUAUUGAGUUUCCUCAAAAAUUUAAACACAGAACUACCAUAUAAUCCAGUUAAUUCCACUUCGGAGUAUCUAUCCAAAGAAAACAAAAACAUGAAUUUGGAAAGUUGCAUGUGCCUUCAUGUCUGCUGCAGCAUUGUUUAUAAUAGCCAAGAUAUUAAGUGUUCAUCCCUGGAUAAAUGGAUAAAGAAAUUGUGGUACGUACCUAUUUGACCUUUGAACAACAUGGGUUUGAACUGUGUGGGUCCGUUUAUGUGUGGAUUUUUUACAGUACAGUUCUGUACAUCUAUUUUCCUUCUGAUUUUCCUAAUAACAUUUUCUUUUCUCUAACUUCCUUUAUUCUAAGAGUACAGGAUAUAAUGCACAUAACACAAAAAAUUGUGUGUUAACUGACUGUUCACGUUAUUGGUACAGCUUCUGGUCAACAGUAGGAUCUUAGAAGUUAGGUUUUUGGGGAGUCAAGUUAUAUGUGUAUUUUUUCCUACAAGGGGGGCUGAUGUCCCUGAACUUCACAGUGUUCAAGUGUCGACUGUAUACAGUGGAAUACUAGUCAGCCAUAAAUAUCUUGCCAUUUGUGACACCAUGGAUGAAACUUGAGAACAUUAUGCUAUAUGAUCUCACUUAUAUAUGGAAUCCAAAAAACAAAACAAACAAAAAAUCAAGCUCAGAGAUAGAGAACCGAUGGAUGAUUUCCAGAGUGGGGACAAUUGACUAUAGUAUAUAAUAUAUACUCUUGACUAUAGUUAUAUAUAUAUAUAUAUUCGAUAUAUAGUCAGUCAAGUUGUAAAGAGAAUUGCAGAGUCCAAGAUCAGAGGACUAUAUGACUAUUGACUAUAGUAAACAAUAUCAUAUUAUUUGAAAGUUGCUAAGAGAGUGGAUCUUAAAAGUCGUUAUCAUGGGGCGCCUGGGUGGCUUGGUCGGUUGGGCGGCCAACUUCGGUUCAGGUCAUGAUCUUGCGGUCUGUGAGUUCGAGCCCCACGUCGGGCUCUGGGCUAACAGCUCAGAGCCUGGAGCCUGUUUCGGAUUCUGUGUCUCCCUCUCCCUCUUCCCCUCCCCUGUUCAUGCUCUGUCUCUCUCUGUCUCAAAGAUGGAUAAACAUUAAAAAAAAAAAGUCCUUAUCAUGAAAAAAAAUAAAACUGUGUGACUAUGUAUAAUGACAGAUGACUUAUUGUGAUGAUCAUUUCACAAUGUGUACAAUAUGGAAUCAUUAUGUCAUACACUUGAAACUAAUAUAAUGAUAUGUCAAUUAUACCUCAAUCAAAAUAAUACAGAAAAAUAACAUAAUGCUUUUUAUUAAUUAGCCACCUAACCAACUCUAUAAUACUUAUUCCCAAUUUUUUUUUUUUUUUUGCAGCAUACUCUUGGCCUUUUUAUGACACAACAUGUUCGUAAUUUCAUUUUCUAUAGAAAAAAAGGGGAUAAGUAAUUUAGUCUAUCCUCUGAUACGGCUGAUUGUUAUUUUUAUUUUUAAAUGUUUACAUUGGUAGUUUAUAAAAGUUGCUUUCAGCUUCACAAUUCUUUACCAGUAAUGACAAGCAAAUUGCUAGAAUUAUUGUCAAAUUUCAGAAAAUCUGUAUCAAGUGCCUUUCAUAUGAGAGCCGUAGGAUUUCAGAACAUUCCAAGUUUUCUUCACAGUAACUAAUUGUUAAAAUUAAGAAAGUUGAGGGGCGCCUGGGUGGCUCAGGCGGUUGAGCAUUCAACUCUUGAUUUGCUCGGGUCCUGAUCCCAGGGUCGUGAGAUCGAGCCCCAUAUGGGGCUCCUCACUGAGCGUGGUGCUUGCUUAAUAUUCUCGCUCUCUUUCUCCAUCUGCCCCUCCCCCGCUCUCACAAGUGCACUCUCUCUCAAAAAAAAUAAGUAAGUGAAUAAAUAAUAAAAUAAAAAAAUAAAAUAAAUUCAAUCAAGUAAAGUUAAAAAAAAAGAAAAUUGACGUCAUUAGCCAGUUUGUCUUGUGUAUCCAUCAGAGACAAUGCGCGACUUUUCUGUUACCUUCAUUGAUAUCUGUACCUGAGGUCAAAUCAGCAAGGAAUGAAGGAGGACGUCUGUAGAAGCAGUUGGGCAAGGUCAUCUCAGUAGAGGGAACAGCAUGGAGAAGAGCAUGCACCAGCGAAGGCAGACAGUCCAGAGCUGAUAGACAAGCAGGCAGCGGUGUGCAAAAAGCCCACAGAGUCUCACAGGGAGGUGUGAUGUGUUGCCGGCAAAUGGCUGAGGACAGACUAUCUUGAUCUUAAGAAGCUAAGAGGUCACUAAACUAUGAAAAGCACUAGAGGGUAGUUUUUAGAUCAUUACCGUUGGAGUCAGAUGAACCCCAGUUUAAAUCCUAACUCUUCCACUUCCUAGCCGCGAACGCCAGCUACCAACAGAUUAACUACCUACAGAAGUGUCUGCAAAGGACGCAGAUCGAUCCCAAGGCUACGGACUGAAUGCUUGUGCCCCCCACAAAUGUCUACGCUGAAAUCCUAACCUCCAAUAUAAUGGCAUCAGGAACUGGGGCCUUUGGGACGUAAUUAGGUCACGAGGGCGGAGUCUUUGUAAAUGGGACUGGUGCCUUUGGAAUAGAGACCCCAGAGAGCUCCCCCUGUCCCUUCCAUCCUGUGAAGACACAGCAGGAAGUCCG
rnacentral:lncRNA from 1 species